rnacentral:rRNA from 1 species
GAUGAACGCUGGCGGCGUGCUUAACACAUGCAAGUCGAACGGUGAACGAGGGAGCUUGCUCCCUCCGGAUCAGUGGCGAACGGGUGAGUAACACGUGAGCAAUCUGCCCUGGACUCUGGGAUAAGCGUUGGAAACGACGUCUAAUACCGGAUACGAGGCGUGGGGGCAUCCCCAACGCCUGGAAAGAACUUCGGUCCAGGAUGAGCUCGCGGCCUAUCAGCUAGUUGGUGGGGUAACGGCUCACCAAGGCGACGACGGGUUGCCGGCCUGGGAGGGUGACCAGCCACACUGGGACGGAGACACGGCCCAGACUCCUACGGGAGGCAGCAGUGAGGAAUAUUGCACAAUGGGCGCAAGCCUGAUGCAGCAACGCCGCGUGAGGGACGACGGCCUUCGGGUUGUAAACCUCUUUUAGCAGGGAAGAAGCGAAAGUGACGGUACCUGCAGAAAAAGCACCGGCUAACUACGUGCCAGCCGCCGCCGUAAGAC